ensembl:lncRNA
CUUGAUUUACUGAGAGUUCUUUCUUUCUCUCUCUCUCUCUCUCUUUUUUUUUUUUUCCCCUCUGAGUUUCCCUGACUUUUUCUUAUGGCUGAAUUUCCACAGGACUACGUGGGAAUCUGAGCUACACAGGAGGCUGACAACCAGAAGAAUUGAGCGAUCAUGCCCUCAGACUUUUUCUUUGAUGGUGCAGGUGAAGGAGAACAGAAACAUGAAAAUACUUCAGCUCUUCAGGCUCUCUUACUCUUUCUCUGCAGAAACCAUUUUGUGCAGUGCUCCAGGAGCCAGCUGCUUCACUUCAAUCAAGCACAGCACAGUUUCAGGGAAGCCAGAAACAGAAUUAGUGUCAAGAAAACCCAGAAAGAAAAUAUUGCCUGAACAUGCAAGAUUCUCCAGAGUCAGCUCAUUCAGCCAUUAUACUAAAUACAUUUGUACAAGAUUCUCUUUGUCUCAUCGUUUUAUCCUGAAGCUGUGAUUUAGUCAAAUGAAAUAAUGGAAAAGUACCACUAUAAUGCUGUAAAUGCCAUUAUAGACAUGUGUACAAAACACUUAUUAGUACCUUUUCUGAAACUGUUAUAUUGUUCUGUUCUCAG